GACGUACCGAGCGAACGUUGUUCGGAAUCACUGGGCUUAAAGGGCUCGUAGGCGGCCAACUAAGUCGGCCGUGAAAUCCCCAGGCUCAACCUGGGAACUGCGUCCGAUACUGGAUGGCUUGAAUUCGGGAGAGGGAUGCAGAAUUCCAGGUGUAGCGGUGAAAUGCGUAGAUAUCUGGAGGAAUACCGGUGGCGAAGGCGGCAUCCUGGACCGACAUUGACGCUGAGGAGCGAAAGCUAGGGGAGCAAACGGG
rnacentral:rRNA from 1 species